rnacentral:rRNA from 1 species
GAUGAACGCUGGCGGCGUGCCUAAUACAUGCAAGUCGAGCGAACAGAUGAGGAGCUUGCUCCUCUGACGUUAGCGGCGGACGGGUGAGUAACACGUGGAUAACCUACCUAUAAGACUGGGAUAACUUCGGGAAACCGGAGCCAAUACCGGAUAAUAUAUUCAACCGCAUGGUUCAAUAGUGAAAGACGGUUUUGCUGUCACUUAUAGACGGAUCCGCGCCGCAUUAGCUAGUUGGUAAGGUAACGGCUUACCAAGGCAACGAUGCGUAGCUGACCUGAGAGGAUGAUCGGCCACACUGGAACUGAGACACGGUCCAGACUCCUACGGGAGGCAGCAGUAGGGAAUCUUCCGCAAUGGGCGAAAGCCUGACGGAGCAACGCCGCGUGAGUGAUGAAGGUCUUCGGAUCGUAAAACUCUGUUAUUAGGGAAGAACAAAUGUGUAAGUAACUAUGCACGUCUUGACGGUACCUAAUCAGAAAGCCACGGCUAACUACGUG